UGAUGAUGAUGAUGAUGAUGAUGAUGAUGAUGAUGAUGAUGAUGAUGAUGAUAGUAAAAAUAAUAAUUCUUUCUAAUUUUGGCAAAGGGCCAGGGCAACAACAGCAGCAGCAACGAUAAUAACAAUAACAACAUCAUCAUCAUCAUCAUCAUCAUCAUCAUCAUCA
rnacentral:pre_miRNA from 1 species